UUAAUAUUUCCUACACGGCAGCAUCAAAGAGCAUUCUAUACAACAAAUUGAAGCCACCGUCUCUGUUCUAAAACUUGGCAAUAGUUACGUGGGUUUUUUUUUUUUUGUAUGAUGCGCUUCUGGCUUAUUCUAAACUCACCCUUGAAUCCAAACACUGCCCUGUCAUAGCAUUUGGCAAGAAUUGAUUUCCGUCCUCGCAAGAAGAGAAAGAGAAAGAGGGUUUGGUGCUAUAAGUAACUGUGAUCUUCGAGUUCUAAUUUUUUUUCUUAUGGGAGAGACAGGGUCAGAAGAAACAACAUAUUUGAAAUCUUCCGCUUUGUUUCGCUUCAGGUAAUGUCUUUUUUUUUUGUUUUCAUUGAACCCUCCAAAAUGUCAACUUCAUCUCUGUUUUCUUAUCCCAUCUUACACUUUCCCACUUUCCAUUCUCUCUGUAAUUCCCUCUUAUUAUGUUCUGUGCCCGCAAUUUCUCUUCCUUUUAUCAAAACUCGUAACUUUAACUUUCACCACUAGCAUGCUCCAGCUAAUUAGACUUCUUGAAUCUGAAUUCACCCGUCAUUUUUGUGGGGAAUGCAAAAGGAGGAAUUAAUUCAGAAUGCCGUUCUUUUGCAUACCAACAGUUCGAAAAAUGGCCUCAAAGAGCUGCUAGGAAGAUAUUUUGGCAGUCUGCAACAUGGUUCAUUUUCAUCUUUUACGCCUUAAUAUUAACAAGUAAAUUAGUUAGUUUUGUAAGUUAGACAAAUUGCACCUUGCACAUGCCUCGGUUGUAUUUGCCAUGAUUUCCACGAAGGAUUUAAUUUCCUAGGCUUCCAUGAUUACAGGGUUUGCUCAACUUGGUAAUGACACAAGAUUUGUAUCUUUUCAGAGAUAUGCUCGAGCAAUCUGUUUAUUCACCAAAAAUGAGUUUACAUCUUUUAUUAAUUAGAUAACAUAAUUAUUAUCA